rnacentral:rRNA from 1 species
GGUUAAGCGACUAAGCGUACACGGUGGAUGCCCUGGCAGUCAGAGGCGAUGAAGGACGUGCUAAUCUGCGAUAAGCGUCGGUAAGGUGAUAUGAACCGUUAUAACCGGCGAUUUCCGAAUGGGGAAACCCAGUGUGAUUCGUCACACUAUCAUUAACUGAAUCCAUAGGUUAAUGAGGCGAACCGGGGGAACUGAAACAUCUAAGUACCCCGAGGAAAAGAAAUCAACCGAGAUUCCCCCAGUAGCGGCGAGCGAACGGGGAGCAGCCCAGAGCCUGAAUCAGUGUGUGUGUUAGUGGAAGCGUCUGGAAAGGCGCGCGAUACAGGGUGACAGCCCCGUACACAAAAAUGCACAUACUGUGAGCUCGAUGAGUAGGGCGGGACACGUGGUAUCCUGUCUGAAUAUGGGGGGACCAUCCUCCAAGGCUAAAUACUCCUGACUGACCGAUAGUGAACCAGUACCGUGAGGGAAAGGCGAAAAGAACCCCGGCGAGGGGAGUGAAAAAGAACCUGAAACCGUGUACGUACAAGCAGUGGGAGCACGCUUAGGCGUGUGACUGCGUACCUUUUGUAUAAUGGGUCAGCGACUUAUAUUCUGUAGCAAGGUUAACCGAAUAGGGGAGCCGAAGGGAAACCGAGUCUUAACUGGGCGUUAAGUUGCAGGGUAUAGACCCGAAACCCGGUGAUCUAGCCAUGGGCAGGUUGAAGGUUGGGUAACACUAACUGGAGGACCGAACCGACUAAUGUUGAAAAAUUAGCGGAUGACUUGUGGCUGGGGGUGAAAGGCCAAUCAAACCGGGAGAUAGCUGGUUCUCCCCGAAAGCUAUUUAGGUAGCGCCUCGUGAAUUCAUCUCCGGGGGUAGAGCACUGUUUCGGCAAGGGGGUCAUCCCGACUUACCAACCCGAUGCAAACUGCGAAUACCGGAGAAUGUUAUCACGGGAGACACACGGCGGGUGCUAACGUCCGUCGUGAAGAGGGAAACAACCCAGACCGCCAGCUAAGGUCCCAAAGUCAUGGUUAAGUGGGAAACGAUGUGGGAAGGCCCAGACAGCCAGGAUGUUGGCUUAGAAGCAGCCAUCAUUUAAAGAAAGCGUAAUAGCUCACUGGUCGAGUCGGCCUGCGCGGAAGAUGUAACGGGGCUAAACCAUGCACCGAAGCUGCGGCAGCGACGCUUAUGCGUUGUUGGGUAGGGGAGCGUUCUGUAAGCCUGUGAAGGUGUACUGUGAGGUAUGCUGGAGGUAUCAGAAGUGCGAAUGCUGACAUAAGUAACGAUAAAGCGGGUGAAAAGCCCGCUCGCCGGAAGACCAAGGGUUCCUGUCCAACGUUAAUCGGGGCAGGGUGAGUCGACCCCUAAGGCGAGGCCGAAAGGCGUAGUCGAUGGGAAACAGGUUAAUAUUCCUGUACUUGGUGUUACUGCGAAGGGGGGACGGAGAAGGCUAUGUUGGCCGGGCGACGGUUGUCCCGGUUUAAGCGUGUAGGCUGGUUUUCCAGGCAAAUCCGGAAAAUCAAGGCUGAGGCGUGAUGACGAGGCACUACGGUGCUGAAGCAACAAAUGCCCUGCUUCCAGGAAAAGCCUCUAAGCAUCAGGUAACAUCAAAUCGUACCCCAAACCGACACAGGUGGUCAGGUAGAGAAUACCAAGGCGCUUGAGAGAACUCGGGUGAAGGAACUAGGCAAAAUGGUGCCGUAACUUCGGGAGAAGGCACGCUGAUAUGUAGGUGAAGCGACUUGCUCGUGGAGCUGAAAUCAGUCGAAGAUACCAGCUGGCUGCAACUGUUUAUUAAAAACACAGCACUGUGCAAACACGAAAGUGGACGUAUACGGUGUGACGCCUGCCCGGUGCCGGAAGGUUAAUUGAUGGGGUCAGCGCAAGCGAAGCUCUUGAUCGAAGCCCCGGUAAACGGCGGCCGUAACUAUAACGGUCCUAAGGUAGCGAAAUUCCUUGUCGGGUAAGUUCCGACCUGCACGAAUGGCGUAAUGAUGGCCAGGCUGUCUCCACCCGAGACUCAGUGAAAUUGAACUCGCUGUGAAGAUGCAGUGUACCCGCGGCAAGACGGAAAGACCCCGUGAACCUUUACUAUAGCUUGACACUGAACAUUGAGCCUUGAUGUGUAGGAUAGGUGGGAGGCUUUGAAGUGUGGACGCCAGUCUGCAUGGAGCCGACCUUGAAAUACCACCCUUUAAUGUUUGAUGUUCUAACGUUGACCCGUGAUCCGGGUUGCGGACAGUGUCUGGUGGGUAGUUUGACUGGGGCGGUCUCCUCCUAAAGAGUAACGGAGGAGCACGAAGGUUGGCUAAUCCUGGUCGGACAUCAGGAGGUUAGUGCAAUGGCAUAAGCCAGCUUGACUGCGAGCGUGACGGCGCGAGCAGGUGCGAAAGCAGGUCAUAGUGAUCCGGUGGUUCUGAAUGGAAGGGCCAUCGCUCAACGGAUAAAAGGUACUCCGGGGAUAACAGGCUGAUACCGCCCAAGAGUUCAUAUCGACGGCGGUGUUUGGCACCUCGAUGUCGGCUCAUCACAUCCUGGGGCUGAAGUAGGUCCCAAGGGUAUGGCUGUUCGCCAUUUAAAGUGGUACGCGAGCUGGGUUUAGAACGUCGUGAGACAGUUCGGUCCCUAUCUGCCGUGGGCGCUGGAGAACUGAGGGGGGCUGCUCCUAGUACGAGAGGACCGGAGUGGACGCAUCACUGGUGUUCGGGUUGUCAUGCCAAUGGCACUGCCCGGUAGCUAAAUGCGGAAGAGAUAAGUGCUGAAAGCAUCUAAGCACGAAACUUGCCCCGAGAUGAGUUCUCCCUGACUCCUUGAGAGUCCUGAAGGAACGUUGAAGACGACGACGUUGAUAGGCCGGAUGUGUAAGCGCAGCGAUGCGUUGAGCUAACCGGUACUAAUGAACCGUGAGGCUUAACCUU